GACAGAGGUCCCGAGCGUUAGGCGGAAUCACUGGGCUUAAAGCGUGUGUAGGCGGAUGCCUAAGUACCUUGUGAAAUCCCACGGCUCACCCGUGGAACUGCUCGGUAUACUGGGUGUCUUGAGCCACUUAGGGGCUACCGGAACAAAAGGUGGAGCGGUGAAAUGCGUAGAUAUCAUUUGGAACGCCAAUGGUGAAAACAGGUAGCUGGGAGUGUGCUGACGCUGAGACACGAAAGCCAGGGGAGCAAACGGG
rnacentral:rRNA from 1 species